rnacentral:rRNA from 1 species
GGGUAGAGCACUGUUUCGGCUAGGGGGCCAUCCCGGCUUACCAACCCGAUGCAAACUGCGAAUACCGGAGAAUGUUAUCACGGGAGACACACGGCGGGUGCUAACGUCCGUCGUGAAGAGGGAAACAACCCAGACCGCCAGCUAAGGUCCCAAAGUCAUGGUUAAGUGGGAAACGAUGUGGGAAGGCCCAGACAGCCAGGAUGUUGGCUUAGAAGCAGCCAUCAUUUAAAGAAAGCGUAAUAGCUCACUGGUCGAGUCGGCCUGCGCGGAAGAUGUAACGGGGCUAAACCAUGCACCGAAGCUGCGGCAGCGACACUCAGGUGUUGUUGGGUAGGGGAGCGUUCUGUAAGCCUGCGAAGGUGGCCUGUGAGGGUUGCUGGAGGUAUCAGAAGUGCGAAUGCUGACAUAAGUAACGAUAAAGCGGGUGAAAAGCCCGCUCGCCGGAAGACCAAGGGUUCCUGUCCAACGUUAAUCGGGGCAGGGUGAGUCGACCCCUAAGGCGAGGCCGAAAGGCGUAGUCGAUGGGAAACGGGUUAAUAUUCCCGUACUUGGUGUUACUGCGAAGGGGGGACGGAGAAGGCUAUGUUGGCCGGGCGACGGUUGUCCCGGUUUAAGCGUGUAGGUGUGUGUUCCAGGUAAAUCCGGUUCACUUUAACACUGAGGCGUGAUGACGAGGCACUACGGUGCUGAAGCAACAAAUGCCCUGCUUCCAGGAAAAGCCUCUAAGCAUCAGGUAACAUCAAAUCGUACCCCAAACCGACACAGGUGGUCAGGUAGAGAAUACCAAGGCGCUUGAGAGAACUCGGGUGAAGGAACUAGGCAAAAUGGUGCCGUAACUUCGGGAGAAGGCACGCUGACACGUAGGUGAAGUGAUUUACUCAUGGAGCUGAAGUCAGUCGAAGAUACCAGCUGGCUGCAACUGUUUAUUAAAAACACAGCACUGUGCAAACACGAAAGUGGACGUAUACGGUGUGACGCCUGCCCGGUGCCGGAAGGUUAAUUGAUGGGGUCAGCGCAAGCGAAGCUCCUGAUCGAAGCCCCGGUAAACGGCGGCCGUAACUAUAACGGUCCUAAGGUAGCGAAAUUCCUUGUCGGGUAAGUUCCGACCUGCACGAAUGGCGUAAUGAUGGCCAGGCUGUCUCCACCCGAGACUCAGUGAAAUUGAACUCGCUGUGAAGAUGCAGUGUACCCGCGGCAAGACGGAAAGACCCCGUGAACCUUUACUAUAGCUUGACACUGAACAUUGAGCCUUGAUGUGUAGGAUAGGUGGGAGGCUUUGAAGUGUGGACGCCAGUCUGCAUGGAGCCGGCCUUGAAAUACCACCCUUUAAUGUUUGAUGUUCUAACGUGGACCCGUGAUCCGGGUUGCGGACAGUGUCUGGUGGGUAGUUUGACUGGGGCGGUCUCCUCCUAAAGAGUAACGGAGGAGCACGAAGGUUGGCUAAUCCUGGUCGGACAUCAGGAGGUUAGUGCAAUGGCAUAAGCCAGCUUGACUGCGAGCGUGACGGCGCGAGCAGGUGCGAAAGCAGGUCAUAGUGAUCCGGUGGUUCUGAAUGGAAGGGCCAUCGCUCAACGGAUAAAAGGUACUCCGGGGAUAACAGGCUGAUACCGCCCAAGAGUUCAUAUCGACGGCGGUGUUUGGCACCUCGAUGUCGGCUCAUCACAUCCUGGGGCUGAAGUAGGUCCCAAGGGUAUGGCUGUUCGCCAUUUAAAGUGGUACGCGAGCUGGGUUUAGAACGUCGUGAGACAGUUCGGUCCCUAUCUGCCGUGGGCGCUGGAGAACUGAGGGGGGCUGCUCCUAGUACGAGAGGACCGGAGUGGACGCAUCACUGGUGUUCGGGUUGUCAUGCCAAUGGCACUGCCCGGUAGCUAAAUGCGGAAGAGAUAAGUGCUGAAAGCAUCUAAGCACGAAACUUGCCCCGAGAUGAGUUCUCCCUGAGACUUUAGGUCUCCUGAAGGAACGUUGAAGACGACGACGUUGAUAGGCCGGGUGUGUAAGCGCAGCGAUGCGUUGAGCUAACCGGUACUAAUGAACCGUGAGGCUUAACCUUACA